rnacentral:lncRNA from 1 species
CCUGGUCAAGAAGCUGUGAGCAUGGCUAGAAAGAGGCAGAUUUGGUGUAUGGGCCAUGGUGCAGAAAGUAGCAGAGAAUGGCUUGGAAGUUUCCAGUUGGAGGUGAUUGCAUGCCAUCCUCCCCAGUGCUUUUCACGAACAUUCCACCUCAUGGACAGGACCUCAGCACAUCCACAGAGAAACUGGUGCCUAUAGAUCUAGAUCUUCCCCGACCAGAAUUAGCUCUCCAUAGAUUGAGACUAGAAUCUGAUUUCAAAUCCAACCAUUGGGGGAUGAAGAUAAUUCCCAAUGAAGGAGAAGAAACACCAAGGAAAACAGUUCACAGAGGAAGAUAUCGGAAUUGAGCUUCCUGGGGGCCACUGUUGGGCUGAGGAGAUCACCCAGCAGUGACUGGACAUGCUCCCGCCGUGUUCUCACACAGCAUUUGACAGAGUGGUGCCUGUGCUGUCAGACAUUCAUGAACAUUUAGUGAUAUUUUGUAUGGUUGGGGUCAUUUAUUUGUUUGGAAAGUUAACCUUUGGGGAAACUUAAAGAUGGUUCUGGUUCUGGGGAAUCUUCCAAAUUGGAGACAGAAAGAUGGAAGAUGUGCUCAGCAUUCAAACUUUAUGGGAAAAAAAAUUUAUGAAAAACUUCAGCGGAGUGUUGAGGCAAAUGUUACGUGAGAUCUUGUAAUUGGCCUUGUUAAGGGGGGACCAAGCCUUUUACCUGGUGGCACAGGAUGGGGUUCCUUUGUGUUAAUUUCAGCAACAGUGGACCUUAUUUACUUUAGCAAUUGCCUUUGGUGUAAAACAACAAGUUGUAUUUACUUCUACUCAAUCAUAGAAUAUCCUUUUCCCCAAAGAUUCUCAGUAAGGGGCAGUGUCACUUGUGACCUUGGGGAGCUCUAAAGAGGUGGCAACCCAGAAGCACACUUCUGUACCCUGCAGCCUACAUGACUUGCCCCAGGGAGAGAAGGGCCAACCAACCCUCUGACCAUACAGUCCAACAGUAACUGAAAGUAAACGGUUCAGGGAAAAAUGCACAGAAGAGUUCCAGAUUUCUCUAAAGUAAAGCUAACUCCCUCGUGUUUCCAGAAUAUUUGUUAUUUAUUGAUUGAAAAUGUUUAAAGGACUUGAAUCAUUAGACUCAAUACUUUUAAGUGAUCUUAAAAGUCCAGCAUCCAGAUUAUCAUCUCAAACAAAUUAGGUGACAGUAUUUGCUUUUACUGCAUUUAAAAAAACAUUUGUAAAAUAUUCUUGAAUGAAUGAUAAAAAUGCAAAGCAUACUUGAUAUCCAGAUCUGGAAAUUUCAUAAGUUCAUUUGUAGUUAGUUAUACUUUCAAAGUGUAUUGAACCAACUGAAACUUUAUGAUAACCUAUAACACAGAAAGAAUAUUCAUAGCCUAGGGUUCCUAUUGUGGAUGUAUAAGAUAUAUGCCUCCACUUAUAUUAGGCAACCUGCAUAAAUCUGCCAGCUUUAACCAAAGAUAGUUCUUGAUUCCUGCAUUAGUUCAUCAUCUUACAGUUUGGGGAAGAUUAGAAAAUCAUCUGAAAGAAAAAAAAUGCACUUAGGAAAUUCACUACUUCUUUCUUUGAUUUUUAGGUAGUUUCCACAAAGAUACUGUGGGGUUUUUUUUUUUUCUUGCUUUGUUUUAUGUGGCUGUUUUUCUUACAAAACAAAUGAAUAAAUGUGGAACAAAGAGGAUGCUUUAACAAAACUGAGUUUCACCAACAUGUUUGGUUCUAAAAACAAACCUUCAACAUGCAAACCUUCAAAAAAUGAGUAAACAACUGCAUUCUUUGUAAAAAUGUGGGAUUUGCCUUCUUGCCACUCAUGGGAAUGAUUUUAGGCGAUGGCUUUCCAACAUGCAGAUUCCCAUGACACAAGGUCAAUGGGGCACUAAAGAGGAAGGCAAAGUACAGACCCUUCUCUGAGCCUUGGGCACCAUCUCAAGUUAAAUUUCCUCUGCCCUGGGCCUCUCUCAGUUGGCUCAUUUCUGACUCUCAGCCUCUCCUGCUAAAACUUGUCUAAAUCUCACAGCUCCUCUGGGUCACAUACUCAGUGAAAAAAAAUGCCAUCUGCACAUGUUGCUUCCCAUCUUCCUGAGGGAAGACACUGG